GACGAACGCUGGCGGCGUGCUUUACACAUGCAAGUCGAGCGAGGCCCUCUCCUUCGGGAGGGGAGCCCUAGCGGCGAACGGGUGAGUAACACGUGGGCAACCUGCCCCUAGCACUGGGAUAAGCCCGGGAAACCGGGUCUAAUACCGGAUAUGACCCUCUUAGGCAUCUUUGAGGGUGUAAAGGAUUCUGGCUAGGGAUGGGCCCGCGGCCUAUCAGCUUGUUGGUGGGGUAACGGCCUACCAAGGCUUCGACGGGUAGCCGGCCUGAGAGGGCGACCGGCCACACUGGGACUGAGACACGGCCCAGACUCCUACGGGAGGCAGCAGUGGGGAAUAUUGCACAAUGGGCGCAAGCCUGAUGCAGCAACGCCGCGUGAGGGAUGACGGCCUUCGGGUUGUAAACCUCUUUUAGUAGGGAAGAAGCGUAAGUGACGGUACCUGCAGAAAAAGCACCGGCUAACUACGUGCCAGCAGCCGCAGUAAUAC
rnacentral:rRNA from 1 species